UGGGGAAUAUUGGACAAUGGGCGAAAGCCUGAUCCAGCCAUGCCGCGUGUGUGAAGAAGGCCUUUUGGUUGUAGAGCACUUUAAGCGAGGAGGAGGCUACUUAGAUUAAUACUCUAGGAUAGUGGACGUUACUCGCAGAAUAAGCACCGGCUAACUCUGUGCCAGCAGCCGCGGUAAUACAGAGGGUGCGAGCGUUAAUCGGAUUUACUGGGCGUAAAGCGUGCGUAGGCGGCUUUUUAAGUCGGAUGUGAAAUCCAUGAGCUUAACUUAGGAAUUGCAUUCGAUACUGGGAAGCUAGAGUAUGGGGGAGGAUGGUAGAAUUCCAGGUGUAGCGUUGAAAUGCGUAGAGAUCUGGAGGAAUACCGAUGGCGAAGGCAGCCAUCUGGCCUAAUACUGACGCUGAGGUACGAAAGCAUGGGGAGCAAACAGG
rnacentral:rRNA from 1 species